rnacentral:rRNA from 1 species
AGUUUGAUCAUGGCUCAGGAUGAACGCUGGCGGCGUGCCUAACACAUGCAAGUCGAGCGAAGCACUUUGCUUAGAUUCUUCGGAUGAAGAGGAUUGUGACUGAGCGGCGGACGGGUGAGUAACGCGUGGGUAACCUGCCUCAUACAGGGGGAUAACAGUUAGAAAUGACUGCUAAUACCGCAUAAGACCACAGCACCGCAUGGUGCGGGGGUAAAAACUCCGGUGGUAUGAGAUGGACCCGCGUCUGAUUAGCUAGUUGGUAAGGUAACGGCUUACCAAGGCGACGAUCAGUAGCCGACCUGA